GACAGAGGUGCCGAGCGUUAGGCGGAAUCACUGGGCUUAAAGUGUGUGUAGGUGGAUGCCUAAGUACCUUGUGAAAUCCCACGGCUUAACCGUGGAACUGCUUGGUAUACUGGGUGUCUUGAGCCAGCUAGGGGCUACCGGAACAAAUGGUGGAGCGGUGAAAUGCGUAGAUAUCAUUUGGAACGCCAAUGGUGAAAACAGGUAGCUGGGGCUGUGCUGACACUGAGACACGAAAGCCAGGGGAGCGAACGGG
rnacentral:rRNA from 1 species